rnacentral:rRNA from 1 species
CCCUUAGAUGUUCUGGGCCGCACGCGCGCUACACUGACGAAUGCAACGAGCUUAUAACCUUGGCCGAAAGGUCUGGGUAAUCUCCAAAUUUCGUCGUGAUGGGGAUAGAUUAUUGCAAUUAUUAAUCUUCAACGAGGAAUGCCUAGUAAGCGCAAGUCAUCAGCUUGCGUUGAUUACGUCCCUGCCCUUUGUACACACCGCCCGUCGCUACUACCGAUUGAAUGAUUUAGUGAGGACUUCGGACUGGGACCGAUGCGGCUUUCGGGCUGCGUCGGUAUUCUGGAAAGAUGUCCAAACUGUAUCAUUUAGAGGAAGUAAAANUCGUANCA